rnacentral:ncRNA from 1 species
AUAAAGUUUUAUUCUAGCUUGAAUUUUUAAUUUUUGGAUUAUUUUAUAUGCUAAUUUUAGUGGUAGUUAAAUAUAUUUUAUAUAGGUAUAUUUUUGUUUAGUAUAGUAGCAAUAUUGAAGAUUAAAUAUAAAAGAAAUUUUGAUUUAGGAAUUCAUAGUAGUAUUAACAAAAUUUGUGCCAGCAGUUGCGGUUACACAAAUAAUGCAAUUAAAUAUAAUUAGUAAGUAAUUAGUUUGUUUUUGUUUAUAGUGUUAAGUUAAAUUUAUUAGGUGAAAUUUUUAAAUUUAGUUUAAGGUUUAAAAUGGAAAAUGAAGUUAUGAAAUUUUUAUAAUAAACUAGGAUUAGAUACCCUAUUAUUGAAAACUUAAAUUAAAAUACUAGAUUAGUAAUAGUUAUGUUCUUGAAAUUCAAAGAAUCUGGCGGUAUUUUAGUCUAUUCAGAGGAACCUGUUCUGUAAUUGAUAGUCCACGAUUAAUUGUACUUAUUUUAAUGGUUUGUAUAUCGUCGUAGUUUGAAUGUUUUAAAAGAAUAAUAAAUGUUCAAGAUUUAUAAUAAUAAAGGAAAUCAGAUCAAGAUACAGCGUAUGAAUAAGUAGAAAUGGGUUACAAUAAAUUUAUUUAUAUGGUUAUUUUAAUUAACAUUAUUAUAUAAAGUGGAUUUGAUAGUAAUAUGGUUAAGUUAAACUAUAUGAUUUUAGCUCUAAAAUAUGCACAUAUCGCCCGUCGCUCCCAUUUUAAGGUGGGAUAAGUCGUAACAGAGUAGGCGUACUGGAAAGUGUGCCUGGUAAGGCA